rnacentral:rRNA from 1 species
AGAACGAACGCUGGCGGCGUGGAUAAGACAUGCAAGUCGAACGCGAUUUAUCAGGUUAGCAAUAACUUGGUAAAUUGAGUGGCGAAAGGGUGCGUAACACGUGGGAAUUUACCAAGAAGUGGGGAAUAGCUCGACGAAAGUCGAAUUAAUACCGCAUACGAUCGAAAGAUCAAAGCCGGGGACCGCAAGGCCUGGCGCUUUUUGAGAAGCCCGCGGCCCAUCAGCUAGUUGGCGGGGUAACGGCCCACCAAGGCUAUGACGGGUAGCUGGUCUGAGAGGACGACCAGCCACACUGGAACUGAGACACGGUCCAGACACCUACGGUGGCAGCAGUCGAGAAUUUUUCACAAUGGACGAAAGUCUGAUGGAGCGACGCCGCGUGGAGGAUGAAGGUUUUCGGAUUGUAAACUCCUGUCACUGCAGAACAAGGAUAUGCUCGUUAAUAGCGAAUGUAUUUGAUGGUAUGCGGAGAGGAAGGGACGGCGUAACGUCUGCGCCAGCA